AGAGAACAUAUUAUUCUCAGUAAUAAGAAAAGCUUCCCAACCCUCAGAUUCAUAAUAUCUAAUUGCCAAAAUCACAUAGAUACAACCGCAUAUGUUUACCAGAACAUGUUUAUAAGUCA